GGUGGCUUAGCACUAUCACUUAGCGGCGGACGGGUGAGUAAUGCUUAGGAAUCUGCCAUUUAGUGGGGGACAACAUUCCGAAAGGAAUGCUAAUACCGCAUACGUCCUACGGGAGAAAGCAGGGGAUCUUCGGACCUUGCGCUAAAUGAUGAGCCUAAGUCGGAUUAGCUAGUUGGUGGGGUAAAGGCCUACCAAGGCGACGAUCUGUAGCGGGUCUGAGAGGAUGAUCCGCCACACUGGGACUGAGACACGGCCCAGACUCCUACGGGAGGCAGCAGUGGGGAAUAUUGGACAAUGGGCGGAAGCCUGAUCCAGCCAUGCCGCGUGUGUGAAGAAGGCCUUUUGGUUGUAAAGCACUUUAAGCGAGGAGGAGGCUACCUGGAUUAAUACUCUAGGAUAGUGGACGUUACUCGCAGAAUAAGCACCGGCUAACUCUGUGCCAGCAGCCGCGGUAAUACAGAGGGUGCGAGCGUUAAUCGGAUUUACUGGGCGUAAAGCGUGCGUAGGCGGCUUUUUAAGUCGGAUGUGAAAUCCCCGAGCUUAACUUGGGAAUUGCAUUCGAUACUGGGAAGCUAGAGUAUGGGAGAGGAUGGUAGAAUUCCAGGUGUAGCGGUGAAAUGCGUAGAGAUCUGGAGGAAUACCGAUGGCGAAGGCAGCCAUCUGGCCUAAUACUGACGCUGAGGUACGAAAGCAUGGGGAGCAAACAGGAUUAGAUACCCUGGUAGUCCAUGCCGUAAACGAUG
rnacentral:rRNA from 1 species